rnacentral:rRNA from 1 species
GACAGAGGGUGCAAACGUUGUUCGGAAUUACUGGGCGUAAAGCGAGUGUAGGCGGUUUCCUAAGUCAGGUGUGAAAGCCCCGGGCCUCAACCCGGGAAGUGCACUUGAAACUGGGAGGCUAGAGUAUCGGAGAGGUUGGUGGAAUUCUCGGUGUAGAGGUGAAAUUCGUAGAUAUCGAGAGGAACACCGGUGGCGAAGGCGGCCAACUGGACGAAUACUGACGCUGAGACUCGAAAGCGUGGGAGAACAAGAUGAU